CCAUACCACAAUUCUGGCUGAGACCACAUCGGCCCCAUCCUCCCACUGCUACAAAUUUUACAACAGCCCGAAUCUGUGACUUCCCACUCUAACCUGCCUAUAGCCCCCGACACCUGCUCAUAGAGUUCAACUCUUCAGCAGGGCAUGCCAGGCCUGUCGGGCCCUACCUACUUUUCUAGCUGUACCCUUUCUUUUUACCCUUCACACAGCCUCCACUCCAACCACACUGAAUGACUUACCUUCUUCCCCAAAGGCUCCAUCCAGCUUGAAUGCCUUUGCUCAUUCCUCUUCUCCUCUACCUAGACUGCUUUCUGCUCUGCCUGUCACCCCAAGAAACCUCCGAGGCCCACCUGAGCCUUCCCCAAUGGGUGAAUCAGAUCCAAUUAAUCCUAAUCUCUCUUUGCCACUCAUACCUCCACCACGGCUCAUGAAUACAUCUGCUUAACAUUCUAAUUGGAUGUGCACAUGAUCCUCUCUCCAGUAGAUCCUAACUUUCUUGAGGGCAGGGAACAUGCCAUUUAGUUCAGUUCAAUAUUUACUGAGCACUUCUGUGUGAAGGGCACUGAAGAUACUGAAAACAAUACUCAACAGCCCCUGUCUUUGAAGAGCUCCUAGUCAGAUGCCCUCGACAAUACCGUGUAUGAAGUGCUUUGACACAGCUGCGAGGGGGACUUAAAACAAGCGACUUAAUAGCAGACAAAGCCCAAAUCACCUAAUGACGAAGGCAGGACUAUAGCUUUCAGUUGCUCCUCAGAAACUGAGCAAACUACAUGGCAGAGAAUAGAAUAAAUUGGCUGAAUUCUAAAGAUACCAUCACCAAGUCCUGCCCACCGUGUCCCAAAGACUCCUACUCACCUGUACUUGUGAACGCAGCUGAUCCAUCUUCUGCUGCUGCUUCUCUACAAUCUGAAAAAGAAAAGUCAUCAAGGAAGGCGCAAUCAGAAUGCCAACGUUUGCUGGCUGUCACAGCCUGGACACCCUCAGUCACCUUUCGGAGUGAAUCACAUUCCUUCUGCCAAGACUCCACUUCUACAUUCGGACGUUCUUCCUGUUGGGCUGGACAUU